UGUAGGCAUGCAUCUUAGGCAAAUCCGGGGUGCUCUAUGCUGAGAACUGAUAGCAAGCGAGUUUACUCGUGAAGUGGCUGAUACUAUGCUUCCAGGAAAAGUCUCUAAGCUUCAGUUACACAGGAAUCGUACCCGAAACCGACACAGGUGGUCAGGUAGAGAAUACCAAGGCGCUUGAGAGAACUCGGGUGAAGGAACUAGGCACAAUGGUGCCGUAACUGCGGGAGAAGGCACGCUGAGCUGUCGGUGAAGCGACUGGCUCGUGGAGC
rnacentral:rRNA from 1 species